rnacentral:rRNA from 1 species
GGCCACAUUGGGACUGAGACACGGCCCAAACUCCAUACGGGAGGCAGCAGUGGGGAAUAUUGCACAAUGGGGGAAACCCUGAUGCAGCAACGCCGCGUGGGUGAAGGAGCGUUUCGGCGCGUAAAGCCCUGUCAGCGGGGAAGAAGAAAGACGGUACCCGACCAAGAAGCCCCGGCUAACUACGUGCCAGCAGCCGCGGUAAUACGUAGGGGGCAAGCGUUAUCCGGAUUUACUGGGUGUAAAGGGAGCGUAGACGGCAAGGCAAGCCUGGAGUGAAAGGCGGGGGCCCAACCCCCGGACUGCUCUGGGAACUGUCUAGCUAGAGUGCAGGAGGGGUAAGUGGAAUUCCUAGUGUAGCGGUGAAAUGCGUAGAUAUUAGGAGGAACACCAGUGGCGAAGGCGGCUUACUGGACUGUAACUGACGUUGAGGCUCGAAAGCGUGGGGAGCAAACAGGAUUAGAUACCCUGGUAGUCCACGCCGUAAACGAUGAUCACUAGGUGUCGGGUGUUAAGGAACGCUCGGUGCCGCAGCAAACGCAAUAAGUGAUCCA